rnacentral:rRNA from 1 species
AACGUAGGUGGCAAGCGUUAUCCGGAUUCACUGGGCGUAAAGCGCACGCAGGCGGCCCGGUAGGUAGGGCAUGAAAUCUCCUGGCUUAACUGGGAGAGGUUGUCCUAUACCGCCGGGCUUGAGGAUGGGAGAGGGAAGUGGAACUGCCGGUGUAGUGGUGAAAUGCGUAGAGAUCGGCAAGAACACCAGUGGCGAAGGCGGCUUCCUGGCCCAUUCCUGACGCUCAUGUGCGAAAGCUAGGGGAG